UACGGAGGGGGCUAGCGUUGUUCGGAAUUACUGGGCGUAAAGCGCGCGCAGGCGGUCUUCCAAGUCAGUGGUGAAAGCCCGGAGCUCAACUCCGGAACUGCCAUUGAAACUGUUAGACUUGAGGAUGAGAGAGGUGAGUGGAAUUCCCAGUGUAGAGGUGAAAUUCGUAGAUAUUCGCAAGAACACCAGUGGCGAAGGCGGCUCACUGGCCCGAUACUGACGCUGAGGCACGAAAGCGUGGGGAGCAAACAGGG
rnacentral:rRNA from 1 species